AUUGAACGCUGGCGGCAGGCCUAACACAUGCAAGUCGAACGAGUGGCGGACGUGUGAGUAAUGUCUGUGAAACUGCCUCAUGGAGGGGGUUAACUUCUGGAAACGGUAGCUAAUACCGCAUUCCAUCAGCUGUGCCCCGAGGGUUUUAGCUUGUUGGGGGGGUAACGGCUCAACAAGGCGACUAUCCCUAGCUGGUCUGAGAGGAUGACCAGCUACACUGGAACUGAGACACGGUCAAGCGUCCUACGGGAGGCAGCAGGGGGGAAUAUUGCACAAUGGGCGCAAGGCUGAAGGAGUCAUGCCGCGUGUAUGAAGAAGGCCUUCGGGUUGUAAAGUACUUUCAGCGGGGAGGCGUUACCCGAAGAAGAAGCACCGGCUAACUCCGUGCCAGCAGCCGCGGUAAUUC
rnacentral:rRNA from 1 species